CACGCUGACAGCGCUGCAAGAGAAGAGACGUUAACCUCUGAGCUACAGCUGUUGACAGCUUUCAACUAGUUAAUCAUGGAACAGUUUUCUUCUCAGGGCGAGAUUUGCCUGAGGUUUCAUGGAAUGAGACUCCUGCAACCCCAGGGCACGGAACCGUGAAAUGGCUUUUGUCUUGCAGCUGGCGUCUUCGUUAUCAAGGUCUACCGCGGGUCCAGGGGUGCGAGAAAUGCGGUGAUCUCCUGUUGCCCUCCAGUGGCAGCGGCUCACAGCAGAGCCAGCGCGGAGCAGAGCCCUCGGGAAUUGCUUCUCACCUGGCCGGCCUGGAUAAGGCGGGGAUUUCCCGCUGGUGUUUAAUACGCAGCUAACGAGCCCGUGGCUAACGAACGCGUGGCUACCCAACGCGUGGCGAACCAACACACAGCCCACCAACCCACGGCUAACCCACCCCAAGCGAGUGCCGGCGCCGACGCGCUCUCACCCCGCUCCCCCGGCGCCGGAGGCGGCCGCCCGCGACCCCAGCUCUGCUCCAUCGCGCCUCCUCCCGCGGCUCCGCGCCUGCCCUUCACCAGUUCCCAUUUUGGAGUGGGAAUACCCAGAUUUUUUAAGGCUCUUUCUUCUAUUUCUCUUUCAGAUUCUUUCUAGGUAGGCCCAGGCAAUCAGUACAGCUCUUGGAUGGCAACAUUUUUCCUAUUUAUUUGCGCCGUGCCUCCCUCCAACGCACGGCGCCUAUCGCACCGUCGGGCACCGCCAGCACAGCCGGGUGCAACUCUUCCCGCUGGCGCUUCCCUCGGCACUGCCGAAGCCCAGCUUAGAGCUUCCCAUUAACACACCGGGCCACAAGACUUUCCUUUUUAAUGAUAAACUCUCUCGUGUACUUCCUCAGAGACGAUAAAGACCUCCUCGAUCAAAUCUCA